ACCAGCAUCUAUAUCACCCUGCAGCUCUCAACUGGCUAGCAGGGUUGAGCCUUAUCAGUAUCUGGAGGGGAGACUCCUGGGAAGCUAUGGUUGCUGCUGGAA
rnacentral:rRNA from 1 species